CCUUGCUGCCUGUGAGCUAACAGCAGUGUGUAACAUAGCUAUUCUCAAACAUACUACAAACCUUCAGUAAUUUACAACUAUUUUUCCAGAGCAGGACUUCAUUCUCAAAAUCUCAAAGACAACAACU